CGGACCGAGGGGUGCUGCGACGGAACCGACGCGUUCCGCCACGCUCGAUCCGCGAUGCCGAGACAAGGGCGCCCUCCCGAU
rnacentral:ncRNA from 1 species